rnacentral:rRNA from 1 species
UACGAAGGUGGCAAGCGUUGUUCGGAUUUACUGGGCGUACAGGGAGCGUAGGCGGUUGGAUAAGCCCUCCGUGAAAUCUCCAGGCUUAACCUCGGAAAGUGCAGAGGGGACUGUUCAGCUAGAGGAUGGGAGAGGAGCGCGGAAUUCCCGGUGUAGCGGUGAAAUGCGUAGAGAUCGGGAGGAAGGCCGGUGGCGAAGGCGGCGCUCUGGGCAACUACUGACGCUGAGGAGGCGAAAGCGUGGGGAGCGAUCCGG